GGUGAGAUUCAGGGAGGAGCUCAGACGUCACUGAACUAUAGAAGAGAUGAACUUCUACAUUCAACAGAGUUCAAUAUACGAAGCAUCAACAUCACCUUCCUUCAACAUGCUGUCACCACUGAUGUUUCUAGUUAUUCUACAAGGAUUCAGCUGUGAAGAACUCACACCAGUGAAGACAGAAGAAAACAGUGUAGAAAACACGACUGUUACUAUGUCCUACAUUUACUCCAAAAAAGCAUUUAGUAGUGAAUAUUUCUUCUGGUAUAAACAAGAUCCAGGAAAACCACCAGAGUUCCUCAUCUCCCAUCUCGGAACAGGAGGAAUAUUGAAUGGUCUAAUGACUGAACUGAUGAUCAAAGUGGAUGGAAACCGAAUCAGUCUGAAGAUCUCGUCUGCUACAGUGUCAGACUCUGCUGUGUACUACUGUGCUGUGAGGCCCACAGUGACAGGAAACACCAAGACUCUGUACAAGAACCUCAACUCUGUACUCUGUACACCAUCCACCAGAGGGAGUCUCCAUCUGAAUAUCUUCAGCAGGAUGUGACGAUACCGUGUGGAUUAUUCAUAGUGGUGAUGAAACAGAUGAAAGGGACAAAUAUAGCCUGAUUGAAGGAAGUGAUGAUAAUGAGGUGUUGUGUAAUAUUUCUUAUAUAAAAAACACCUCAUCAUGGAGUGGAAAUUAAAAUCCUCUGACAUCUAAUAGAUCAGAAAUGAAACCAACAAUUUAAACAAUAUAUAUCUAUGAGGAAUCCAUUUAUUAUCUAAAACAUAUUGUGAUCAUAUGAAGUGUUAUAAGUGUUGUAUCAAUAUAGUCAUUAUUAUGUUUAACUUCACAACUAAAAUCACCCAGUUUGAUUUAUGAAAUAGGUUUUAUCACACACUCAAGUCUUCAUUUUUUUUCAUAUGAUGGUUUUUCGUUGUUUUGUCAGGUUGGGAUUUCUUGUGGUGUUCCACAGGGUUCAUUCAUAGGUCCUCUGCUUUAAAUUGUCAUACUUUGGAUGAAAUGAUGUUUGAAUAAAACAUCUGUUUCCUCUG